rnacentral:rRNA from 1 species
AGCAACAAAUGCCCUGCUUCCAGGAAAAGCCUCUAAGCAUCAGGUAACAUCAAAUCGUACCCCAAACCGACACAGGUGGUCAGGUAGAGAAUACCAAGGCGCUUGAGAGAACUCGGGUGAAGGAACUAGGCAAAAUGGUGCCGUAACUUCGGGAGAAGGCACGCUGACACGUAGGUGAAGUGAUUUACUCAUGGAGCUGAAGUCAGUCGAAGAUACCAGCUGGCUGCAACUGUUUAUUAAAAACACAGCACUGUGCAAACACGAAAGUGGACGUAUACGGUGUGACGCCUGCCCGGUGCCGGAAGGUUAAUUGAUGGGGUCAGCGCAAGCGAAGCUCCUGAUCGAAGCCCCGGUAAACGGCGGCCGUAACUAUAACGGUCCUAAGGUAGCGAAAUUCCUUGUCGGGUAAGUUCCGACCUGCACGAAUGGCGUAAUGAUGGCCAGGCUGUCUCCACCCGAGACUCAGUGAAAUUGAACUCGCUGUGAAGAUGCAGUGUACCCGCGGCAAGACGGAAAGACCCCGUGAACCUUUACUAUAGCUUGACACUGAACAUUGAGCCUUGAUGUGUAGGAUAGGUGGGAGGCUUUGAAGUGUGGACGCCAGUCUGCAUGGAGCCGACCUUGAAAUACCACCCUUUAAUGUUUGAUGUUCUAACGUGGACCCGUUACCCGGGUUGCGGACAGUGUCUGGUGGGUAGUUUGACUGGGGCGGUCUCCUCCUAAAGAGUAACGGAGGAGCACGAAGGUUGGCUAAUCCUGGUCGGACAUCAGGAGGUUAGUGCAAUGGCAUAAGCCAGCUUGACUGCGAGCGUGACGGCGCGAGCAGGUGCGAAAGCAGGUCAUAGUGAUCCGGUGGUUCUGAAUGGAAGGGCCAUCGCUCAACGGAUAAAAGGUACUCCGGGGAUAACAGGCUGAUACCGCCCAAGAGUUCAUAUCGACGGCGGUGUUUGGCACCUCGAUGUCGGCUCAUCACAUCCUGGGGCUGAAGUAGGUCCCAAGGGUAUGGCUGUUCGCCAUUUAAAGUGGUACGCGAGCUGGGUUUAGAACGUCGUGAGACAGUUCGGUCCCUAUCUGCCGUGGGCGCUGGAGAACUGAGGGGGGCUGCUCCUAGUACGAGAGGACCGGAGUGGACGCAUCACUGGUGUUCGGGUUGUCAUGCCAAUGGCACUGCCCGGUAGCUAAAUGCGGAAGAGAUAAGUGCUGAAAGCAUCUAAGCACGAAACUUGCCCCGAGAUGAGUUCUCCCUGAGACUUAAAGUCUCCUGAAGGAACGUUGAAGACGACGACGUUGAUAGGCCGGGUGUGUAAGCGCAGCGAUGCGUUGAGCUAACCGGUACUAAUGAACCGUGAGGCUUAACCUUACAACGCCGA